rnacentral:lncRNA from 1 species
AUUUUUUUUAAUUUUCUCAGCUUCCACGACACUUCAAGAUGUGUGUGAAGAAUAACACGUGGUUAAACCUCUUUUGAGGAUGUGUAGAGAUGGACAAAUUCUCUUGAAAAUUGAAUACACAUUCAAACUAUCUGAACAAAACUAUCCUGCUCCAGGUUAAGAUUAAGGGUUUUAGAUCUGAAAUAAACACCAACUUUUAGGCUCAAAGUGGUUGAC